GUCUAGGUGAAAAGCAGAAUAUGAUGGACGUGCAGGUCAUAAAGGCAGAGCAGAUGAUGUCUUUCUUCCUUUAUGUGCUCAUUCUCAAGAAAGGACACUCAAGCAGACACAUGCAAACUCCUAGAAAGAGGACACAACUCUCCUGCUAAGUGACUGAGCUACCACGGGAGGAGAUUCCAAACUCCAACCAAGCCCAAGGCGACUUCAGCCCCAGGAAGUGUCUGACUACAAAUUCACAGAACUGAGUCAAAGUAGUUCAAGUGAGAUAGUUCAACAUUUGUAAUAACUUGCAAUUCUGCAUACAAGGAAAUCGUAAGAGAUGAAUGAAUACUGUUGCUUCAAAGCAGUAGAUUUUGGAUUAACUUUUAUUCAACAGUAAAGAACUAGUAAAAUAGAGUUAUUAUCUAACCCAGGAAACAAAAAGAGAAAACACUGAAAGAAUAAGCAAGAAACUGGUUUGUAGGACAAUAUCAUUAUUUCUUACUUACAAAUGAGACUCUUGAAGAAAUAGGAGAUAGACAAGGGCAGAAAACUUGGAAAAACUAUAGGCUGAAAUUUCCAUCAGAUUUAGUGAAAUAACAUUAGUUAUAGAUCCAAGAAUGUCAAGAAACCAAACAGAACCCUUUAAAAGGUGGUAACUGGCUUCCCAUAGCCACCAUGUUUUGGUUGUGUUAUAUUCCUAGUUCCCAAGAAGAUCCAUUGCCCCCAGGAGCCCACUGCCAGAAGGAAGAGCAAGAAGCAGCUGCUCAUCAAAAAAGCAAGGGGACCAGACACCAAUAAAAAUGGAUGGCCCAGGUGAUUCAGCAUCCAGAACAGAUUCAAGGCUGCUGAAUAAGAUGAUCCAGACUCACAGAAUACUCUAGCCAAGACUUAACAAUUGAUUUUCUCAAGAUUCCCCAAAGAUGCCCCCAGACAACAGGAAGCAGUCUAGAAAAAACAACAUCUGCAUUCCCAAAAUAUUGGUUAUGGAUGUUUGUCA